GCAGUGGGGAGGGGGCUGCUUGGUGCUGUCGAGGCCGGGACUGUUUGUUUUUCUUGUGAAUUUUCCCAAAACUUUGUGCGUCACAAGGUUUCAGCCCCAGAGGAGCCCCAGCCCCCAGUGGUGACAGCUCUUCCGUUGAGCGAGAACCAGGCGAGUCGGGUGGCUGGACCAGAAGAUCGUUCUGCAGGAUGGUGAGAGCACUGCCCGUGCAGUUUGGUUAUACCUGUGCAGUUUGGUUAUACCUGUGUGGUCUUUUUAGAUUAUAGAAUGUAGUUUUGCCUAACUGGAUGGUAAACGUGAAUAAAAUCUGCUUCAAAGUUGA